CAACCCUUGACAUCCUCGGACCGCCGGAGAGAUCCGGUUUUCCUUCGGGACCGAGUGACAGGUGCUGCAUGGCUGUCGUCAGCUCGUGUCGUGAGAUGUUCGGUUAAGUCCGGCAACGAGCGCAACCCACACUCUCAGUUGCCAGCAGUUCGGCUGGGCACUCUGGGGGAACUGCCCGUGAUAAGCGGGAGGAAGGUGUGGAUGACGUCAAGUCCUCAUGGCCCUUACGGGUUGGGCUACACACGUGCUACAAUGGUGGUGACAGUGGGUUAAUCCCCAAAAGCCAUCUCAGUUCGGAUUGUCCUCUGCAACUCGAGGGCAUGAAGUCGGAAUCGCUAGUAAUCGCGUAACAGCAUGACGCGGUGAAUACGUUCCC
rnacentral:rRNA from 1 species